rnacentral:rRNA from 1 species
GAUCCUGGCUCAGGAUGAACGCUGGCGGCGUGCCUAACACAUGCAAGUCGAGCGAUUUACUUCGGUAAAGAGCGGCGGACGGGUGAGUAACGCGUGGGUAACCUGCCCUGUACACACGGAUAACAUACCGAAAGGUAUGCUAAUACGAGAUAAUAUGCUUUUAAUCGCAUGGUAGAAGUAUCAAAGCUUUUGCGGUACAGGAUGGACCCGCGUCUGAUUAGCUAGUUGGACGAAGGUACGUACCUACGAGG